UGUCAAAAAUUUCUUUCACUUCUAUUAUAAAAAACUGGUUUGGUUGACGGAAUAGUCAUAUACCACGUGUACCUCAUGUUAAUGUACAAAGACUAUUUUUUAACAAUAGAAAUGGAUGAAAUUUUUAAUA
rfam:Gossypium hirsutum cultivar TM-1 unplaced genomic scaffold scaffold4030.1, whole genome shotgun sequence